ACACAUGUCUCUGCUCGUUC
rnacentral:miRNA from 1 species